rnacentral:ncRNA from 1 species
CCCGUGACCCACAGGGCAGCAGGCGACUCUCGCCACUCGUUGCUGCCCGUGGGAACGGGACGAAAUGUGGCCUGUCUGAGCCGGGCUCCACGGUGAACCCCCGACUCUCAAUCAGGCUGAAUCGCAAG